rnacentral:rRNA from 1 species
CCCUUAGAUGUUCUGGGCCGCACACGCGCUACACUGAAGGAGGCAGCGUGUACUCCUGGAUCGAAAGAUUUGGGUAACCCGCGAAUCUCCUUCGUGCUAGGGAUUGAGGUUUGCAAUUAUCCUUCAUGAACGAGGAAUUCCCAGUAAGUGCAAGUCAUAAGCUUGCGCUGACUACGUCCCUGCCCUUUGUACACACCGCCCGUCGCUACUACCGAUUGAAUGAUUUAGUGAGGACUUCGGACUGGGACCGAUGCGGCUUUCGGGCUGCGUCGGUAUUCUGGAAAGAUGUCCAAACUGUAUCAUUUAGAGGGAGUAAAAGUCGUAACA